rnacentral:rRNA from 1 species
GCCUUUCGAAAGAAAGAUUAAUACCCGAUGGUAUAAUCAGACCGCAUGGUCUUGUUAUUAAAGAAUUUCGGUUAUCGAUGGGGAUGCGUUCCAUUAGGCAGUUGGUGAGGUAACGGCUCACCAAACCUUCGAUGGAUAGGGGUUCUGAGAGGAAGGUCCCCCACAUUGGAACUGAGACACGGUCCAAACUCCUACGGGAGGCAGCAGUGAGGAAUAUUGGUCAAUGGGCGCAGGCCUGAACCAGCCAAGUAGCGUGAAGGAUGACUGCCCUAUGGGUUGUAAACUUCUUUUAUAUGGGAAUAAAGUUUUCCACGUGUGGAAUUUUGUAUGUACCAUAUGAAUAAGGAUCGGCUAACUCCGUGCCAGCAGCCGCGGUAAUACGGAGGAUCCGAGCGUUAUCCGGAUUUAUUGGGUUUAAAGGGAGCGUAGGUGGACAGUUAAGUCAGUUGUGAAAGUUUGCGGCUCAACCGUAAAAUUGCAGUUGAUACUGGCUGUCUUGAGUACAGUAGAGGUGGGCGGAAUUCGUGGUGUAGCGGUGAAAUGCUUAGAUAUCACGAAGAACUCCGAUUGCGA